UCUGAUAUCACCUGAAUGCCACACAGGUGCCUGCUUUUCUGUAUCAGACACAUGAAUGAAGAGCAAUGGUGUGAAAUGAGAUGAAAGCAGCUGAAAUGAGAUGGAUGAAGAUCUGGAGAAGAAAAGAAAAUGUCAAGGAGAGGCCCGACGUCUCUCCUCUGGUGGUCUUUCGGAGCCCAACCACAAUAUAGGAGGAGGUGUGACUCCAUCAGCUAGAGGAGAUGUGACCAUAUAAGGACAGAGCAGGAGGAAGCGGGGAUUUCUCUGCAGAAUCAUGUGACUUCCAGUUACAGCGAUGCUCUCAGCGGAUACACACACACAUACACACAAACACACACACACACAGACGCACAGACACACAUGCACGCACAGUGUUCACUUCACAGACUGCAUGUAUUAUUUAUGAAGCUGUUUGUUUUCAGCUUCGUGCUUCAGAUUCCUGCACAUUAAAAUGCCUGACUGUCAUUUUGAAA
ensembl:lncRNA